GCUGGCGGCACGCCUAACACAUGCAAGUCGAACGAACUAGCAAUACUUAGUGGCAGACGGGUGAGUAACAUGUGGGUAUCUGCCCUUUGGCCUGGAAUAACACGAGGAAACUUGUGCUAAUACCGGAUAAGUCUUUACGGAGAAAGCUUUAUGCACCAUUGGAUGAGCCCGCACUUGAUUAGUUUGUUGGUGGGGUAAUGGCCUACCAAGACUGUGAUCAAUAGCUGAUUUGAGAGGAUGAUCAGCCACAUUGGGACUGAGACACGGCCCAAACUCCUACGGGAGGCAGCAGUGGGGAAUCUUGCACAAUGGAGGAAACUCUGAUGCAGCGAUGCCGCGUGAGUGAAGAAGGCCCUUGGGUUGUAAAGCUCUUUCGUCGGGGAAGAAAAUGACUGUACCCGAAUAAGAAGGUCCGGCUAACUUCGUGCCAGCAGCCGCGGUAAUACGAAGGGACCUAGCGUAGUUCGGAAUUACUGGGCUUAAAGAGUUCGUAGGUGGUUGAAAAAGUUAGUGGUGAAAUCCCAGAGCUUAACUCUG
rnacentral:rRNA from 1 species